rnacentral:rRNA from 1 species
AUUGAACGCUGGCGGCAGGCCUAACACAUGCAAGUCGAGCGAGCGGCGGACGGGUGAGUACUGCCUAGGAAUCUGCCUGGUAGUGGUGGAUGACGUCCGGAAACGGGAGCUAAUACUGCUUCCCAUCGGAUUUGCCUAGAUGGGAUGAGCUUGUUGUUGGGGUAACGGCGCACCAAGGCGACGGGCCCUAGCUGGUCUGAGAGGAUGACCAGCCACACUGGAACUGAGACACGGUCCAGACUCCUACGGGAGGCAGCAGGGGGGAAUAUUGCACAAUGGGCGCAAGCCUGAUGCAGCCAUGCCGCGUGUAUGAAGAAGGCCUUCGGGUUGUAAAGUACUUUCAGCGGGGAGGCGUUACCCGCAGAAGAAGCACCGGCUAACUCCGUGCCAGCAGCCGCGGUAAUUC